CUCUUCGCCCCAAUUUGGAAUCCGGGGUGGCCGAAAAUCAUUUUCGUCGCCCUCCGCCGCCACAGGAAACCUCCAGACAUCCCUAAUUUAUCACCAUACACUCCCUAUCCUCUCCCCAUCCAUAUUCUGAUAUUAGUUUCCUCUAAAAACACACAGAACUCCUUCAAUAGCAGAUCUAAAAAUUGAGAACCUAUCCAAUCUGCCUCUUUCUCGAUUCUUUUUCAAUCACGGCCCAAUUGGUGAUGAAACCUACACCAAUCGACUAGUCUCGAUGAGAACUAUCGAUUUGUGUUAGUCCCAAACUAUUUCAUGACCCCCAAAAUCCGGCUAGACCCCUUCCAAAUUCCUCCGGCUUGCUAGAGGUAUUGUUACAUGUAACACUGGCUUGCAUAAGGAAAUUUCGGCCAGUGUUAGUGUAACAAUCCCUUCGGCCUGCCGGAAAUCCUUUUGGCCGAUCCGUUUGAACUCCGAUGGAUCCAGGUACUGCUUACCAGACCAUAUACCAGUGAGCUAGACUGUACGUGGAGACUUCAAGGUACAUAUGCCAGCAACCGCAGACUCCGGAGUCCCCAUCUAUCCUUAUUUUGUUCUUCUCCUUAUUCUCUUUGGACUCUAAUGUAUAGAGACACUUAGUAUUUUUCUCUUAAAAGCUUGUGACUUAUUUCUA